rnacentral:lncRNA from 1 species
UUUUUUCUUUUCUGUUUUCUGCUAAACAUUUCUGACAUUUGUUUCAUUUUAUUUUUGGCACCAAACUAUUCCUAAAAUAGGGAAUUUAAUUGUGGGGUGUUAUUUGGAAUAUUUCCAAGUCCACAAAAAUGUUUCAGCAUUUUGUAAUAUCCUGAGAUAUUUAAAACCUAUUAUUUGUAUAUUAUCAGUGGCUUUUGUGUUUGAAUAAAUUGCCAAAAUUAUUUUAAAAAUAAUAUCCACC